GAUCGGCGAUCGGUGAGUAUUACGUCCCUGCCCUUUGUACACACCGCCCGUCGCUACUACCGAUUGAAUGGCUUAGUGAGGCCCUCGAAUCGAUUUUCGGAGACUGGCAACAGUUUCCGUCUGUUGAGAAGUUGGUCAAACUUGGUCAUUUAGAGGAAGUAAAAGUCGUAACAAGGUUUCCGUAGGUGAACCUGCGGAAGGAUCAUUA
rnacentral:rRNA from 1 species